GGCGGCCCGGGCGUCCGCCGCGGGGGUGGGCGUGGCGCUGCGCGGGAGGGACCCGCAGACGGCAGAGGGUCCGCGGGGAGCGGGCGGGGCGUUGAGAGCGCGCACACAGACACCCAAAAAACACACAAACAAGCGGCCCCUGUGCCGCGGCGGAACGCGCUGUGCUCGCGGCCGUCCGGCCCGUCCGGCAGCCCCGGGUCAGCCCGGUGAACUAAGCGGACCCGGGAUGGCCGAGCCGGGGGCCGGCGUUCUGGUGGGGCUGUCUGGGAGAGGGGCCGGGGCGGCGCUGGGUGGAGAAGGGGCUCGCGGGGGAGCGCGGGGGCGCGCGGGGGCGCGCCUCGAGCCAGUACGGCAGCUCCGGGAGAGGGGAGUGCGGCGGGCGGAGAGGCCGGCAGAGGGCGGGGAGGGCAGCCCGGACCUCCCACCAGCACAGCGCGGUGCACGCGCUUCCCGCUGAGAUGCCAGGCCCUGCCGCCUCUUUGACUUGGAAAAGAAGGAAAGAGCCACGACCUCUCUCCUCUCGCAUUCCAGUGCUCCGUUUGCUCACCCUGACCGUGGCACCCGCAUAAGCCGUCUGUGUGUUCCAGAGAGGCCAGCCCUGCAUGUGCUGUCCGUGAGCGUGCUUGGACCUACGCAUAGGACCCAGCUGAGCGGGACAUUUACACGACUGCUGGGGUCGAGGGCAGAACAGGGGGAAACUGUGUUCUGGCGGAGGCACAGCACCCCGGGAGCACCCAGAGCCUGUGAGUAGAGCCAUAGGAAGAACACCGGGAUGCCGCAGACAAAGAAGAAGAUGAAGUAGGGGAUGAAGAAGGCUCCUGCAGAAGAGAGAGAGGCAGGGCUGAGCCACACCCGGGCUCUUCCUCAGCCUCCAUCCUUUCAGACCCUCCUCCCCCAACAAACCCGCCCUCCACCAUCCUGUUCUUAAUCUCCCUCCUGACACUUUCCAAGGGCCCACUCCUGCCUGCGUGCAGUCCUGAGUGUUAGGCAGGCACAGGUGGGAAUGUUCUGAUCUGAACCCUACACAGAAUGAGAAAGGCCUUGGAAGGGAAAUUAGUGAAAACUUAGGUGGAAAUUCUAAUAUAUGCACUAUUUAUUUUCUUAGUGUGCUUUACAAAUCUAGUCAAUAGAUUAUUUUUGGAAUAAACACAUGGCUUCUGUAUAACUUGAUAUGCUUAUUAAACUCUUGGUACAUUUUAGAGAAAAACAAACACAAACACCUCAGAAGCAUUAUUUUCCCACUAAUAAUUUUCAGGGUGUUUGUUGCCUCCACCCAGUUCUGAUCUGAACUGGGCUCCCAGCAGAGAAGGCCAUCACGUGAUUAGGUGCCAACCUGCAGGUGCCAGAGGGAGGCCAGGCCUAACAGACAUCCAGCAGGUUACACAGGAAUGGAAUCUGAAGACCACACCCAGGAGACCCACUUCAGUAGGAGUCACUAAGGCAUAAAGCUCGAGUGAGAAGUUCAUCUCAGGGUGAAUGGAUUAUUGCGUGUUACACCAUGAGAACGCUGAGUGCUUAUUUGGUGCCUACUUCAUGUCAGGCACUCUUGUACGUACUUCAUCAACAUCACAGUCCUUGCAAAACAACCUCCCAUGGGGCAGGCUCUACUGUUAUCCCCAUUUUGCAGAUAAUAAAACUGAGGUCGCUUUAAAGACGGAAAAACCGAAGCAUGAAUGAGGAAACUGAG
rnacentral:lncRNA from 10 species